rnacentral:rRNA from 1 species
ACGAACGCUGGCGGCGCGCCUAACACAUGCAAGUCGAACGGAGUCAAGAGGAGCUUGCUUUUCUUGACUUAGUGGCGAACGGGUGAGUAACGCGUGAGUAACCUGCCCUGGAGUGGGGGACAACAGUUGGAAACGACUGCUAAUACCGCAUAAGCCCACGGAUCCGCAUGGAUCUGCGGGAAAAGGAUUUAUUCGCUUCAGGAUGGACUCGCGUCCAAUUAGCUAGUUGGUGAGGUAACGGCCCACCAAGGCGACGAUUGGUAGCCGGACUGAGAGGUUGAACGGCCACAUUGGGGCUGAGACACGGCCCAGACUCCUACGGGAGGCAGCAGUGGGGGAUAUUGCACAAUGGGGGAAACCCUGAUGCAGCGACGCCGCGUGGAGGAAGAAGGUUUUCGGAUUGUAAACUCCUGUCGUUAGGGACGAUAAUGACGGUACCUAACAAGAAAGCACCGGCUAACUACGUG